rnacentral:rRNA from 1 species
CCUACGGGAGGCAGCAGUGGGGAAUAUUGGACAAUGGGGGGAACCCUGAUCCAGCGACGCCGCGUGAGUGAAGAAGUAUUUCGGUAUGUAAAGCUCUAUCAGCAGGGAAGAAAGAAAUGACGGUACCUGACUAAGAAGCCCCGGCUAACUACGUGCCAGCAGCCGCGGUAAUACGUAGGGGGCAAGCGUUAUCCGGAUUUACUGGGUGGAAAGGGAGCGUAGACGGCGAUGCAAGUAUGAAGUGAAAGGCGGGGGCCCAACCCCCGGACUGCUUGGGAAACUGGUUGGCGGGAGUGCAGGAGAGGUAGGUGGAAUGCGGGGGGGAGCGGUGAAAGGCAUAGAUAUAAGGAAGAACACCGAGGGCGAAGGCGGUUUACUGGACUGUAACUGACGUUGAGGCUCGAAAGCGUGGGGAGCAAACAGGAUUAGAUACCCGGGUAGUC